rnacentral:lncRNA from 10 species
CGGAAGAAGCGUGAGGUUGUUAGGGCGGUGCUUACACUCUCCCCCAUGUUUAUUCCGUGGUUAACCACAUGGCAGAUCGGCAGUGAUUCAGGAAGAUGAAUUAUCUUCAACACGCAGAAGUUCAGUCCUCUGGCAUGUACGAAUCCUGGUGUGGUUUUUACACAACGUUCUGCUGGGGAUGCUUGGGGAGAAGCUGUGGUAACAGGAUCGGGAUUCGUUCAUGCUUCAUUCAUCCAGGAGGCCUGCGACUGUCCGGCUCAGUGUGGGCUGAGCCUCCAGUGCCGAGCACCAGACACUCCACCCUCCUGAGGCACUUGUGCGGAUGCAGGAAACUGACCAUCAGGCCUCCCGGGUAGUGUGAAGGAAGAGAGACUCACCAGAUCACGGCAUCUGGACAGUGAGAUGCCAAACCCCUCACCCAUCAUGAGUGCCUGACCAGCCACCUGCCUCCUCCUGACCAACUCCUCUUCCUCACUCUCCCUAAUUCCUGUUUUCCUUACACACAGUCACACUUCUUCCCUGCUAUACAGUCAGUCAGGAAGAUGGAUUUGAAGCUGACCUCCCAUCUCCAGGCCUGCAGCUCCUGAUGCAUGCCUUCCUCAUUGGCAGUAAGCGUCGUCUCAGUGACAGGCUUUCUGUGUGGUGAGCAGCGGGAUCUGGACCAAACCCCUGUGUUUCGGGAACAGGGAGAGCAGCCUCAGCAGGCCCCUGGCCCUGAGUGCAGUCAUGACCACCAGGGACCCAUACCAGCCCCCGGAGGUGAGUGUGGACAAGAAGAAACGGCUCCUGAGGACCCAGCCAGGAGAAUUCCUGCAACGUCACGGAGAAUCACGGCUACCUGGCCCACACCCCCCUUGAAGGGCAGCUGCAACAUGCAUCUCAUUUGUCUUUCUUUCCUGGACAUCUUCAAAUCUCCUUCACCACAACCUUGUGAUCAGAGGAUAUCCUGCACGUUCAUCCUGGUGGAUUCAAACCCAUCUUUGCCACACACAUAGUCACCAGAAUGAGCACGCAUAAUCUAUAAAGAGUCCUCUUGAAAAAGAAAAAUGCAGG